AUGGAGAAGACGGUCGUUCUCUACCCCGGCCUCGCCGUGAGCCACUUCGUCCCGAUGAUGCAGCUCGCCGCCCGCCUUCUCGAGCACGGCUACGCCGUCUCCGUGGCGCUCAUCGAUCCUGGCGUCAUGGAAGACAUCGUCUUCAGCGCGGUCGUCGCCCGCGUCGCCGCCUCCAUGCCGUCCGUCAGCUUCCACACGCUCCCAGGUGUGGAGGACCCGCCCAAACUAACCCUGGACAUACACUUCAUCCCCAGGUACCUCGACCUCCUGCGCCGCUACAACGAGCGCCUGCACGACUUCCUCUCUUCCAUGCACCCUCACGCCGUGGUCGUCGACUCGUUGUCCAGCGAGGCGGUCGUCGUCGCAAAGAGGCUCGGGAUCCCCUGCUACAACUUGUUCACCUGCAGCGCCUCCAUCCUCGCCGCCUUCUCCCAGCUUCCUACGCUCCUUCCAGAGGGCGGGGCGAGCUUCGGGGAGCUAGCAGACAACCCUAUCGACCUCUUCGGCCUUCCACCCAUGCCGGCUUCGCACUUACUGGCCGAAAUGCUCGAGGACCCGGAGAGUGAAACAUACAAGGCGACGAUGGGCUCCGUGUGCUGGAUCAUGGAGGCCAAUGGCACGCUGGUGAACACGUUCGAGUCGCUGGAGGCUCGGGGGGUGGCGGCUCUCAGGGACCCACGGUGUGUCCCCGGCCGGGUUUUGCCUCCGGUGUACUGCGUUGGUCCGUUUGUCGGUGCCAUCGCCGAGGCAAAAGAGCGGCACGAGUGCCUUGUCUGGCUAGACGGCCAACCGGACCGCAGCGUGGUGUUCCUCUGCUUCGGGAGCAUAGGCGCAGAAAGCCACUCCAAGGAGCAGCUCAGGGAGAUCGCCGUCGGCCUUAAUAAGUCUGGCCACAGCUUCCUGUGGGUCGUGCAAGCCCCGGCCGAUGACUCGGGGAAGCCGCUUGACCCCAGUGCGGACCCGGACCUCCAUGCUCUCCUGCCCGACGGGUUCAUGGAGCGCACCAGUGGUUGUGGCCUCGUCGUCAAGCUGUGGGCGCCACAGUUAGACGUGCUCUGCCACAGGGCCAUCGGGGGGCGUUCGUGA
rnacentral:rRNA from 1 species